GUUUGAAGUGGUGAACUGAAGCAUUUUGGUCUGAAGCAUACCUAAUAGUAGAGACUAAAUGAAGGGGCUUUGGGUUCUGUUUAAUGUUAUCUAUUCAGGAGCAUUCAAAUGCAAGCUCUCCUCAGAAGCUGCCUGAACGAGGCAAAUUAUUUUGAAAGGAAAUUGCUGUAAGAUAUAUGCAAUGGAGGUUCCAAGGGAGUUCACUCAACUCAACUCAACUCAAC
rnacentral:misc_RNA from 1 species